UGGGGUGUGGCCAAGCGGUAAGGCAGCGGUUUUUGGUACCGUGCAUCGGAGGUUCGAAUCCUUCCACCCCAG
rnacentral:tRNA from 8 species